UGUUUAGAUACUCCAUCUUCUUCUUUUACUUCUCAAUUCAAUAACAGCGAAUCUAACAGCAAUAUCACAAUGGAAUCUGAAUCUUCACCAUUAUUAUCACCAAGUCCUUCAGCUUCAUCUGAGAAAGAAGACUAUUGGAGCGCACUUAGAAAUCGAGUCGAUCCUCUUCUUGAGAAUCGCCAAUCAGUUAAUCAACAUUCAGAACUGCCUCUGAAAUUAGUUUCAUUGAUAAGAGAAGAAGAUUAUUCGCUUCUUCUUAAAGGAUUUGAUUCUAUUUCUUCUUCUUUGUUUCAACUUAAAGGCAAUCUACAUAAAGCCAUUGAGGGAGCAAGAGAUCUAUCAAAACCUCCACUAACCGAAAUAUUGCAAAAAAAUGAUGUUGAAAGUGUAGAAGAAGAAGAGGGCAAGAAAAUGUUGAAGAAGAGAAGGCAUGAUGAGUCUGAAGAACAAUGAAUUGAAAAUCAGAAAGGAGAUGUCGAAUUGAAGGAUAAUUUGAAGAAUGGGAAGCUCAAGAAAGCUAAAAAUCUUGCGAUUUCAAUGGCAGCAAAUGCAGCUACACUAGCUAGAGAAUUGAAGUCGAUACGAUCGGAUUUGUCAUUCAUGCAAGAGAGAUGCGAUAUGCUUGAGGAAGAGAACAUGAGACUUCGCAAUGGAUCUCACUCUGACAAGGGCGGUGAAGAAGAUGAUCUGGUGAGACUUCAAUUGGAAGCUUUGCUUGCAGAGAAAUCACGAUUAGCGACUGAGAAUGCGAACUUAAUACGAGAGAACCAGUGUCUUCACCAGCUCGUCGAAUACCAUCAGCUCACCUGCUCCUCAGAGGAUAUUGAUCAGACUUAUGAACAAGUCUGCUUGGAUUUUGAUUCUCCUUCUCCUUCAGAUGAUGAUGAUGACUCCAACUGUAGUGAAAUUGAAGCCCCA